rnacentral:rRNA from 1 species
UGGCGGACGGGUGAGGAAUACAUCGGAAUCUACUCUGUCGUGGGGGAUAACGUAGGGAAACUUACGCUAAUACCGCAUACGACCUACGGGUGAAAGCAGGGGAUCUUCGGACCUUGCGCGAUUGGAUGAGCCGAUGUCGGAUUAGCUAGUUGGCGGGGUAAAGGCCCACCAAGGCGACGAUCCGUAGCUGGUCUGAGAGGAUGAUCAGCCACACUGGAACUGAGACACGGUCCAGACUCCUACGGGAGGCAGCAGCCA